CAUUUUUCGUCGAUUUCUAAGUGGAAAAUAAAGAAGCGAAGCGAAAAAAAAGCAGAGUGUUACUUUCCAGAAUUUCCCCCCUUUUCAAUGGAAUUCCUGGUCUUAGACACUCGGACAUUU
rnacentral:misc_RNA from 1 species